UAAUAUCGGAUAACGCACAUGUGCUGGAAUGCUUUAUGCGUAAAACGGAUUCGUCCGCCCAAGGAUGGGUCUGCGGCCUAUCAGGUAGUAGUGGGUGUAAUGUACCUACUAGCCAACAACGGGUACGGGUUGUGAGAGCAAGAGCCCGGAGAUGGAUUCUGAGACAUGAAUCCAGGCCCUACGGGGCGUAGCAGGCGCGAAAACUUUACAAUGCGGGAAACCGUGAUAAGGGAACACCGAGUGCCAGCAUCAUAUGCUGGCUGUCCAGAUGUGUAAACUACAUCUGUUAGCAAGGGCCGGGCAAGACCGGUGCCAGCCGCCGCGGUAACACCGGCGGCCCGAGUGGUGACCGUUAUUAUUGGGUCUAAAGGGUCCGUAGCCGGUUUGGUCAGUCCUCCGGGAAAUCUGAUAGCUUAACUGUUAGGCUUUCGGGGGAUACUGCCAGGCUUGGAACCGGGAGAGGUAAGAGGUACUACAGGGGUAGGAGUGAAAUCUUGUAAUCCCUGUGAGACCACCUGUGGCGAAGGCGUCUUACCAGAACGGGUUCGACGGUGAGGGACGAAAGCUGGGGGCACGAACCGGAUUAGAUACCCGGGUAGUCCCAGCCGUAAACUAUGCUCGCUAGGUGU
rnacentral:rRNA from 1 species